CGCUGAAAGCAUCUAAGCGCCAAGCCGGUCCCAAGAUGACUUUUCCCUUUUAAUAAGGGGCGUGGCAGACCACCACGUCGAUAGGCCGGGGGUGCAAACGCCGCAAGGCGUGCAGCCCACCGGUACUAAUGCCCCGAAGGGCUUGAGAAA
rnacentral:rRNA from 1 species